UAUCACUGUGUAUUUAACAAGCUACUCAGACAAUCAUAUGCAAAGUCUCUCAAAGGCACAACCUUGUCUCUUGUGUUGUGCCCUCCAGUUGUAUGGUAGAACUGGCCGUGGUCCUGAUGCCCUGAAAUGGGUGGCCCUGGUGGAACAGAGGGCCCCAGAGGUUCUUCCAACCCCAGCCAGCCUGGAUUCUGUGAUACAGCUCCUACAACUCCAUUUGGAACUGCAUGGUCCCUUCCAGCACAAGUCAUUCUAUGUUUCUAUGACUAUGAACUCAGAUUAGGAGACUGUGCAAUUCCUAAAAGGUAUUGCCUUGAAUUCUGCAGGUCAUGUCAAGGCUUCUGUAAAGUAUGUCUCAAAGCUUUAAAGAGCUCUUUUGCAACUGUCAAAGUGCUGAGAUCUGCAAGGAAUAGGGUCCCCUGAUAGAGUACAGCCAUGAAAUGAAAACAGAAGAGAAGGAAGAUAAAAGGAGCUGCAAUGCAGAACGGGGGUUACUCCAGCAAUAAGAUAAACUUCCACAACAGUGAGCAUCUCUGCUGUGACAGAGGGAACCUUCCCAGAGAGCUGGUAGGAAGGUCAGUAUCUGUGUCUUCCGAAAGCUGGGUGUUCAUCCUAUGUGUGCUUCACAGCUGGAGCCUGUAACCAAACCCCAAGCAAUACCCCGAGGCACUGCACCUCGGGGGCAGUGCGGUUGCUUGCUUUCAUUUGGGUUUUGGGGACAAUUUUUGAUUCCUUGAAACUUCUGGCUAUCCAACUUCAGGCCCACCUGGCUUCUUCCUACAUAAAGAAAUGCAAAAGCACGUUGUGUUGAUGCAACCUGCAGGAUAAACUGAAAGAUGCUGUCUGCGGAGGAUCUUAUACCUAUCAGACCUCGGCUCCGCUCCUUGCGGCCUCUGCUGCCAUCUGCCGCCACUCUGAGACCCAGCACGGGGAGCACUUCCAUCGGCAGCCCAUUCCAAUGCCUGACCGCCCUCUCAAUGGAGAAAUUCUUCUCGACAGCCAAACUAAACCUCCCCUGGUGCAACUUGAGGCCGUAGCCUCGUAUCCUCAAGCAAGUCUGUAUCCGUCUUGCAUCGAGGGCUCCUCCUGUAUCUGAGGUACUGCCUCACCAGUGGCUCAGCAGUGUUUUCCUGUUUAAAACCUGAGGGAUGGCACUUAGGUAAAAGCUAACGUCAUCUCCCUGUUCACUGAGAGAAAGGUGGU
ensembl:lncRNA